CGGCGUGCUUAACACAUGCAAGUCGAACGAGAAAUUUUAGCUUGCUAGAGAAAGUAAAGUGGCGCACGGGUGAGUAACGCGUGGGUAAUCUGCCUCCGAAUCGGGGAUAACAUUGCGAAAGCGAUGCUAAUACCGGAUAAAAUCUGGUUGGCUUCGGUGAACCGGAUCAAAGGUGGUCUCUUUUAAAAAGCUACCGUUUGGAGAUGAGCUCGCGUACCAUUAGCUUGUUGGUGGGGUAAAGGCUCACCAAGGCGACGAUGGUUAGCUGGUCUGAGAGGAUGAUCAGCCACACCGGAACUGGAACACGGUCCGGACUCCUACGGGAGGCAGCAGUAAGGGAUAUUGCGACAAUGGGCGAAAGCCUGACGCAGCAACGCCGCGUGGAGGAUGAAGGCCUUCGGGUUGUAAACUCCUUUUCUGUGGGAAGAGGAAGGACGGUACCACAGGAAGAAGUCUCGGCUAACUACGUGCCAGCAGCCGCGGUAAAACGUAGGAGGCGAGCGUUAUCCGGAUUUACUGGGUGUAAAGCGCGUGCAGGCGGCUUGGUAAGUCGAGCGUGAAAGCUCCCGGCUCAACCGGGAGAGGACGUGCGAAACUGCGAGGCUAGAGACAGGUAGAGGCGUACGGAAUUCCGGGUGUAGUGGUGAAAUGCGUAGAUAUCCGGAGGAACACCAGUGGCGAAGGCGGUACGCUGGGCCUGGUCUGACGCUAAGACGCGAAAGCAUGGGGAGCGAACGGGAUUAGAAACCCCGGUAGUCCAUGCCGUAAACGAUGCUAACUAGGUGUUGCGGGUAAAAGACCGGCAGUGCCGGAGUUAACGCGAUAAGUUAGCCACCUGGGGACUACGGUCGCAAGGCUAAAACUCAAAGGAAUUGACGGGGGCCCGCACAAGCAGCGGAGCGUGUGGUUUAAUUCGAGGCUACACGAAGAACCUUACCUGGGCUUGACAUGACGGUGGUAGGGAACCGAAAGGGGACCGACCUUCGGGAGCCGUCACAGGUGCUGCAUGGCUGUCGUCAGCUCGUGUCGUGAGAUGUUCGGUUAAGUCCGGUAACGAGCGCAACCCUCAUCGCUAGUUACAAGUGUCUAGCGAGACUGCCCGUUCAACGCGGGAGGAAGGCGGGGAUGACGUCAAGUCAGCAUGGCCUUUAUGUCCAGGGCUACACACACGCUACAAUGGCCGGUACAAUGGGUCGCCAACCCGCGAGGGGGAGCCAAUCCACCAAAGCCGGUCACAGUUCGAAUUGCAGGCUGCAACCCGCCUGCAUGAAGUCGGAGUUGCUAGUAACCGCAGGUCAGCUAUACUGCGGUGAAUACGUUCCCGGGCCUUGUACACACCGCCCGUCACGUCAUGGGAGCUGGUCAUGCCUGAA
rnacentral:rRNA from 1 species